CAGUAGCCGCGGGAAUACGAAGGGGGCUAGCGUUGUUCGGAAUUACUGGGCGUAAAGGGCGCGUAGGCGGCCAUUCAAGUUAGAUGUGAAAGCCCUGGGCUCAACCUAGGAAUUGCAUUUGAUACUGUUUGGCUUGAGUUCGGGAGAGGUGAGUGGAAUUCCCAGUGUAGAGGUGAAAUUCGUAGAUAUUGGGAAGAACACCAGUGGCGAAGGCGGCUCACUGGACCGACACUGACGCUGAGGCGCGAAAGCGUGGGGAGCAAACAGGAUUAGAGACCCCCGUAGUCCCUGUCUCUUAUAC
rnacentral:rRNA from 1 species